rnacentral:rRNA from 1 species
UAGGGAAUCUUCCGCAAUGGACGCAAGUCUGACGGAGCAACGCCGCGUGAGUGAAGAAGGAUUUCGGUUCGUAAAACUCUGUUGUUAGAGAAGAACAGCGCAUAGAGUAACUGUUAUGCGUGUGACGGUAUCUAACCAGAAAGCCACGGCUAACUACGUGCCAGCAGCCGCGGUAAUACGUAGGUGGCAAGCGUUGUCCGGAUUUAUUGGGCGUAAAGCGAGCGCAGGCGGUCAAUUAAGUCUGAUGUGAAAGCCCCCGGCUCAACCGGGGAGGGUCAUUGGAAACUGGGUGACUGGAGUGCAGAAGAGGAGAGUGGAAUUCCAUGUGUAGCGGUGAAAUGCGUAGAUAUAUGGAGGAACACCAGUGGCGAAGGCGACUCUCUGGUCUGUAACUGACGCUGAGGCUCGAAAGCGUGGGUAGCAAACAGG